UCCCGCUGCCUUGCUGGAGAAAGCCUGUGGGGCCAGAGAAUGGGACCGCCAUCCAUUCUGUGGGGCUGGGUGCUCAUGGCUACCAUGAGUACAGGUGCCACGGCGAGCUUGGUGGAGCAAAGGCCCAGGUGGGUCCUGGUAGCUCGUGGACAGGCUAAAACCCUGCACUGCAUCCUGAGGAAUUCCCAGUACCCCUGGAUGAGCUGGUACCAACAGGACCUCCAGGGGUCACUACAGGUGCUGGCCACUCUGCGGAGUCCUGGGGAUGAGGAGGUUGUGUCCCGUCCUGGAGCAGAUUACCGGGUCAAGCGGGUCGACAGCACAGAGCUGAGGCUGCAUGUGACCAAUGUGACCCAGGGCAGAAGCCUCUACUGCACCUGCAGUACACACAGUGAGAAAUCCCCCCCUGACGAGUGA